AUGGGCUAAGUUCUCAUCUUGCCCACUGAUCUACAUUCAUCUUUAUAUAGAUCAGUGAAUUUGCCAUUAUGAUGUCAUCUAGUGACAUUUACAGUAGCUAACAGUUUUAGCUACUUUCAACUGAAAGCAAUUGGCAACACUGAAAGGAGCACUGAUAAGUGGCAAAUUUGCUAUUACUGGACUGAAGCAAACUCUUUGGUGCAGAAUGAAGCCAACUAUAAUCGAUGGAGAUGUACAGUAGCUGGGGCAGGAGGAUGUGAAGGAGAGCUCGGUUCGAACACAGAGAAUCGUUGUACUUCCCGGUGUGGUCCUGUACCUGUUCCCGUGUCUGUCUAGUCGGUUUGGAUUCCUCGUGUUGUCGUUGUUCUUCCCUGGAUUACCACUCAGCACUGGAUCACCGAGCACCGUCACAAGGAUUACUACACUGACCGGAAAACCAUUCGAGGGAUCAUCACUGGAUUGAGCACCACCACCAAAUGUCCACUGAAGUCCCUGCGUCACUGUUCCACCCUGCCUUGUGUCCGCCCGCCUGUGCUUCUGUGUUACUAUCGUCAUUGUCUUUCUGAUCUUUGUGCUGAGUUAAUAAAUAGCGUUUUGCAUUUACAUCCUGUUUCUGUCUUACGUAACAGAACGAUCUGACAGUUAUGGAUGUAGCAGGCGCUACGACGUGGAAUGGAUGGAUAGCAAUCAAACAAAACUUCAGACAACCAUUAGCAUGUCAAUAUUUACACAACUAUCAAUACUUUGUUGACCAAUUAGCAAGCAAUGCCCAAUUUUGUUCAGUCUGUGGUUAAUUAGCAAUUAAAGAAAAAAAAACUUCGGCAAAACAUGGUAGUCUAUAGUACUUUUUGGGGUAUAAUAUGUCACUGUUCGCUUUAUUUGGCUGUGGAUUAAUUCUUAUUAAAACUACAAAGUAAUUCAGACAAGAGCAGUAAAUUAUAAAUGGUCUUUCUUUCAUUUUCUUGGAUUAACAUUCACAUUUAAAUUAGGUGUAGUUACUUUAAGAGACGAUGCAUCCAUUAUAAUGAUACACAUCUGAUUACUUUCUCCACUGUUUACUUUCACUUAACACACAACCGAGUUUUUUCGAACAUACUUUCCAAGACAGGUAUUUUGACAUCAUUUUGUAUGUAUUUGUCAGUACAAGAGCAAGAAGAGGCAAAUUCAGUGUUCAAGGAUUUUGAGACGGUCUGUCUGCGUGUGCCCUAUGUGUAUAGAACACUGCGUGUCGGUGCUGAAUUAGGCUUUUUCACAUCUUUUUAUGUUUGCAAGGUUAAACUGCAAUAUGUAUUUGUUUGUUCAGGGGCAGGAGGAUGUGAAGGAGAGCUCGGUUCGAACACAGAGAUUGAGUAGCCUAUUCAGUUGAGUUUUUCUGCGUCUUUUGUGUUUGAAUGCUUUAAACUCUCUUUAAUGUUUAAAUUGGCAAGACUUAAAAACACGUGAAAAUGAUAAGCUUUUGUGACUUGCAGAAGUGUCUUGAGCGUAUUUUUAGGCUGGCCUCGGCAAGUCGGUUGAGAUUGCCGGCCCUGGUUACAAGAUCCACUAUGAGUUGUUGUUAUAGAUAAUUAAUAUGAACAUGUUAUUAACCUCAUUAAACAAACAGUAGAACAAGCAAAACCUCUUUCCUGUUUAUAUAUCUGUCAGGUUUUUAUUGAAUACCUUGAUCCAACAUGCAUUUAUUUUUUUUUUUGCUAGAAAAAAGUUACUGAUUUCAGCUUAUAAAUACACAAAUUAACCAUUGCUCUCACAAUUUUGGAAAUGUAAUUUUCUGUAAGGCUAUCUUCAGAGAUAAGGCUACUCAGAAAAUAGUUAUUUAUACUCAUGACAGAAUUAUAAAUGAGAGUUUGCCUAAUUCAACAGCCAGCAGAUAGCAUGCAAAUGAAAUUAAACACGAUAAUGUCUCAGUCCAAGUGUCAAAUGCACAGAGGAGAAACCCUUUGCCAGUUCAGUAUCUGAAGUCAUUUUUUAUAUGGUUUAUGUCGAUCUGCUGCUUCCUCCAUUACAAAACCACUGAACAAAAGAGUAAUUCAUGGAGUCUCUAAUCAUUAAGAUGUUUUCAGGGCCGUGGGUUGAUUUCACAAUAAUAAUGGCGGGUCUCAGUGCUUUUUUUAAGGUUUAGCAGUGUUAAAAUUUGUUUAUAUUCCCUUCCUUCUGAUUAUAGGACAUUGGAAAAACAUUUCCGGCACUUCCAGAAGAUUGUCUAGAUGGUUUUUAUUAAUUAGCAGAAAUUUGGAGUUUAUUGAGGCAAAAGUAGUACUAAAUUGUGAGAAUUGGUCCCCAAACUAAAGUGACCAUAAAUGUUAAUAAAAAAUGUGUGUGUAUAUAUUUAGCCCUGGGAAAGAAUGUGGGCAAAUUAAAUAGAGUUUUUCCAAUUAAUUUGUCCAUACUCCAUACCAUAUAUGACAGCAUGUUCAACACGCAACCCUUUAUGGAGCUGAGAAAUAUCACAUGAUUUCGUCAUCGUUUUCCGCAGUUAGGUUCGUAAAACUGUUUUUGAGUACAAAAAGUAAAUUAUUGAAGCGGUAAUUUUUUUUGAUUAGUCGUGUUGUUUUUUUUGUUUCAUAUGUCACAAUAAUGAUCAAUCUACAGGUUAUUUAGUGCUUUAACACAUCCUAAAGUUUGCAUUUUCAAAAUUUUUCAGUAUAAAAGUAAAUCAGGUUUAAAUGUCAGGAGUUUCUGUCGGGACGAAAGUAACGAUUGUUACUUUUGUCCCGCUACAGUUACAAGAAGUAUUUAUUUUGUUCCGGUGCAUGUUAUACUGUAAAUUUCUGUGUCUUGCAUUUUUUAUUAAAAUGUUUAUGUCAUAUUAUACCAAAAUAAUAUGUCAAGAGUGAACGUCAGAUAGACAGACAGAGGUCUGGUUUUAUCCAGAUGUUUAUGAGAGGGCUUUUCUGGACAGAGAGGAACAUCACUCUGUCACGGUUCAUGAAUUCACUAUCUCUCUUUCCGUCAUGUGCUGUUGUGUGUGUGUCUGUGGGCGUGGUCACUGAUCAGCGGUGAUCAGCAGCACCAGCUGGAUUCUGUUUGUUCCCUUUAUAAGUUCAGUAACCUUUGUUUCAUGUUGUCAGAUCGUUGUACUUCCCGGUGUGUUCCAGUACCUGUUCCCGUGUCUGUCUAGUCGGUUUGGAUUCCUCGUGUUGUCGUUGUUCUUCCCUGGAUUACCACUCAGCACUGGAUCACCGAGCACCGUCACAAGGAUUACUACACUGACCGGAAAACCAUUCGAGGGAUCAUCACUGGAUUGAGCACCACCACCAAUUGUCCACUGAAUUGCGUGAAAACAGUGAAUUGCGUCACUGUUCCACCCUGCCUUGUGUCCGCCCGCCUGUGCUUCUGUGUUACUAUCGUCAUUGUCUUUCUGAUCUUUGUGCUGAGUUAAUAAAUAGCGUUUUGCAUUUACAUCCUGUUUCUGUCUUACGUAACAGAACGAUCUGACCAGUUAUGGAUGUAGCAGGCCCUACGACGUGGGAUGAGUUCGCGGCUCAAAGCAUCGCAAUAAUGGACACCCAAGAGGAGAACAUCUCUCUCACAGGACGGGUGGGCCAAGCGCUUGUGACGCAGGUGUCCUAGCUCACCCAACAGAUACAACAGCUAAGAGUUUCCACUGCGCCGCCCACACGUCAACUCAGCCCCCUCCACCAGAGCUGCGGCCGCGGCGAGAACCAAGACUGCCUACACCAGAAGGAUAUGCAGGUGAACCAGAGUUUUGCAGAGUUUUCUUGACCCGAUGUUCUAUGCACUUUGCAUUACAGCCACAGACAUUCGUUCAGGAACAAUUCAAAGUGGCGUUUGUGCUGACGCUGUUAUCAGGCAGGGCGGCUCUCUGGGGAACAGCGGUGUGGGAGAAUCAAGACCCAUGCUGUGCCUCGUUCCAGACACUCUCCGAGGAGAUGAAGAGUGUUUUCGAUCGGGCGGUGGUGGGUAGGGAGGCGGCUAGACUACUCGCCGAUCUCCGCCAAGGUAAAGGUUCGGUGUCUGUAUAUUCCAUCCGGCUCCACACCCUGGCUGCAGAGUGCCGAUGGAACGAGGAGGCGCAGUGGGGCAGAUUCCUGGGUAGAGCUUGGCUUUCCCGGGAGGAGAGAGAACGGUGGAGGUCCCAAAGACUGUGCCUAUACUGCGGGAGGGCGGGCCACUUCAUCCACUCGUGCCUGUUAAAAGAUCAAGCCCGGUAGUAACUAUGAGGCUACUAUCGGGUGGGAUCUCCUCCGAGAAGACCUCAUCCUCACCAUCAUCAUCUACUCUCCUUCCGGUAAGACUAAGGUGGGCAACCAACACACACGACACCCAUGCCUUACUGGAUUCGGGGGCAGAAGGUAAUUUUAUGGACUUGGAACUGGCUCACCAUCUUCACAUUCCCAUCACCCCCCUCACGUACAAGAUUUCUGUCAGUGUUCUUAAUGGACAACAGCUUCCCAACAUUUCACACGCUAACCCAUCAAUCUCAUCACGUCUGGCAACGACACCGAGACAAUAACAUUCCUCCUCAUGAACUCACCUCUGGCACCCUUCGUACUUGGUCAUCCUUGGUUCACACAGCAUAAUCCUAGAGUUGAUUGGGGGCACAAUUUUGUAUCCAUGUGCAGUAACAUGUGUCAUGAGUCAUGUCUAGUGUCUGCAUGUUCGUCUGUACCUGUGUCUGUUUUUCAGGAGGAGGCAGUGAAUAUAUCUAAAAUGCCAGAAGAGUACCAGGACCUGAGAGAAGUGUUCAGUAAGUCUCGUGCUGCUUCUCUUCCUCCACAUCGUCUCUACGACUGUGCCAUAGACUUAGUGCCAGCAGGGGCGGGGUUCUUUUUUGUGGGGAAGAAGGAUGGGUCUCUGCGACCGUGCAUUGAUUAUCGAGGGUUGAACAACAUCACGGUAAAGAAUACUUAUCCUUUGCCGUUGAUGUCUUCAGCUUUCGAAUGAUUACAGGGAGCAUCCAUCUUCACAAAAUUGGAUUUACGUAACGCUUAUCAUUUGGUUCGCAUAAGGAAGGGGGAUGAAUGGAAGACCGCAUUUAAUACCACCAGGGGGCACUUUGAAUACUUGGUUAUGCCCUUCGGGCUAUCCAACUCGCCCGCGGUCUUCCAGGCACUCAUCAAUGACGUGCUGAGAGAUAUGGUUGAUCAAUUCAUAUAUGUUUACCUGGAUGACAUAUUGAUCUUUUCCUCUUCUCUUCAGGAACACGUUCAGCACGUCAGACGAGUGCUUCAGAGGUUGCUAGAGAAUGGGCUUUUUGUCAAGGCAGAGAAAUGCGUUUUUCAUGCACAGUCCGUUCCCUUUCUAGGGUACAUCGUCUCGUCUGAGGGAAUGCGUAUGGAUCCUGACAAAGUUAAGGCUGUGAUAGAUUGGCCAAGUCCAGAUUCCUGUAAGGCCCUACAGAGGUUUCUGGGAUUUGCCAAUUUUUAUUGCGUUUUAUUCGCAACUUCAGCCAACUAGUCGCGCCCCUGACUGCUUUGACCUCCCCCAGAACGACGUUCAGGUGGUCUGAUACAGCAGAAGCUGUAUUUGCCAAACUUAAGAGCUGCUUCGGAGGGGACGCGGAUUUCAGUACCUGGUGGACUGGGAGGGUUACGGUCCGGAGGAGAGAAGUUGGGUUCCUGCUAGAGACAUUCUGGAUCACUCCCUUAUCGAUGAUUACAAUCGUUGGUGUGCUGUUGUGUGUGUGUCUGUGGGCGUGGUCAAUGAUCAGCGGUGAUCAGCAGCGCCAGCUGGAUUCUGUUUGUUCCUGUACCUGUUCCCGUGUCUGUCUAGUCGGUUUGGAUUCCCCGAGUUGUCAUCGUUCUUCCCUGGAUUACCACUCAGCACUGGAUCACCGAGCACCGUCACGAGGGUUACUACACUGACCGGAAAACCAUUCGAGGGAUCAUCACUGGAUUGAGCACCACCACCAGUUGUCCACCGAAGUCCCUGCGUCACUGUUCCACCCUGCCUUGUGUCCGCCCGCCUGUGCUUCUGUGUUACUAUCGUCAUUGUCUUUCUGAUCUUUGUGCUGAGUUAAUAAAUAGCGUUUUGCAUUUA